rnacentral:rRNA from 1 species
GACGAACGCUGGCGGCGUGCUUAACACAUGCAAGUCGAACGGAAAGGCCCUGCUUGCAGGGUACUCGAGUGGCGAACGGGUGAGUAACACGUGGGUGAUCUGCCCUGCACUUCGGGAUAAGCCUGGGAAACUGGGUCUAAUACCGGAUAUGACCUUCCAUGUAGUGUGGGGGGUGGAAAGAUUUAUCGGUGUGGGAUGAGCCCGCGGCCUAUCAGCUUGUUGGUGGGGUAAUGGCCUACCAAGGCGUCGACGGGUAGCCGGCCUGAGAGGGUGGACGGCCACAUUGGGACUGAUAUACGGCCCAGACUCCUACGGGAGGCAGCAGUGGGGAAUAUUGCACAAUGGGCGGAAGCCUGAUGCAGCGACGCCGCGUGGGGGAUGACGGCCUUCGGGUUGUAAACCUCUUUCGACAGGGACGAAGCUUCGGUGACGGUACCUGUAUAAGAAGCACCGGCUAACUACGUG